rnacentral:rRNA from 1 species
GCGACCCCAGGUCAAGCGGGGCUACCCGCUGAGUUUAAGCAUAUCAAUAAGCGGA